GAUGAACGCUGGCGGCGUGCCUAAUACAUGCAAGUCGAGCGAACAGAUGAGGAGCUUGCUCCUCUGACGUUAGCGGCGGACGGGUGAGUAACACGUGGAUAACCUACCUAUAAGACUGGGAUAACUUCGGGAAACCGGAGCUAAUACCGGAUAAUAUAUUGAACCGCAUGGUUCAAUAGUGAAAGACGGUUUUGCUGUCACUUAUAGAUGGAUCCGCGCCGCAUUAGCCAGUUGGUAAGGUAACGGCUUACCAAGGCAACGAUGCGUAGCCGACCUGAGAGGGUGAUCGGCCACACUGGAACUGAGACACGGUCCAGACUCCUACGGGAGGCAGCAGUAGGGAAUCUUCCGCAAUGGGCGAAAGCCUGACGGAGCAACGCCGCGUGAGUGAUGAAGGUCUUCGGAUCGUAAAACUCUGUUAUUAGGGAAGAACAAAUGUGUAAGUAACUAUGCACGUCUUGACGGUACCUAAUCAGAAAGCCACGGCUAUCUACGUG
rnacentral:rRNA from 1 species